rnacentral:misc_RNA from 1 species
UCCGGCUUAACGCCGGCAGUCUCCCUAGAGUGCCCAACUGAAUGGUGGCAACUAAGGACGAGGGUUGCGCUCGUUGCGGGACUUAACCCAACACCUCACGGCACGAGCUGACGACAGCCAUGCAGCACCUGAACCAGCGGUCCCCGAAGGGAAAGUCCUAUUUCUAGGAAGGUCCGCUGUUGUCUAGUCCAGGUAAGGUUCUUCGCGUUGCGUCGAAUUGAACCACAUGCUCCACCGCUUGUGCGGGCCCCCGUCAAUUCCUUUGAGUUACAUGCUCUCACAAGACUGCUGGUGGCAAGCCAGAGGAAGGUGGGGAUGACGUUAGGAUAG